GAGCCGGUCGCCUAGCACGGUCGAGGGCAGCGCUCUCUUAAGGCGCCCUGCGCCGGUUCGAAUCCGGCCCGGCUCA
rnacentral:tRNA from 1 species